UUAAUAAAGCGAAGCAAAUGGAAUGUUGCACACAGAAAUCUACGUCGCGGUGAUCUUGUCUUGAUCGUUGAGAAGGACGUACCUCGUUCGCAUUGGAGGCUCGGAAGAGUGAUUGCACCGAUCGCAAGUGAAGACGGAGUGAUCAGAUCCGCGGAGAUUGCAACGAAAACUGGAACAUUGACACGUCCUGUAGGACGGUUAGCAUUACUGGAAGCUUUUAAUGAUGAGUAACGUUCCCCCCGUUCACGUCACGGGCGGGGGUGUUUUGGACUUUGUCCAGUUUAUUAUAUAGUUCAUGUUAAUUUUAUGGUAAUAGACUUUUGUCCAGUAACAUUGAAAAUAGAGAGGUCAGAGGACAGAACGAACACAAAACGUUUGAGAAACAGGGUUUUUGCUGUAAAACUGUUGAGUUGUACUAAAUAAAUAUAUGAAAACCUCAUGAUUAAUGAAAAUUACACGCCGUCUAUAACA